UUUCUGGAGCAUGGUUCAUUCACUCUGUGAGUUCCUCCCCUUCACCUGUACCUCAGAGCCUCUGAGGGAUCACAGCUCAGCCUCAGGAGUCCCCAGCUCUCCUUGGUGAGAAGGAGAAAUAUUCAGGCAGGCUGAGGACACAAAACCAGCCUGAAGAAGCCUCCAGGCCCUGAGAUGGCCACUAAUGGAUCUUGAAGUUUGCCUGUGAAAGUCCCUGAUGUUCAAGUGGAUAAACUCCAGUUUAUUUCAGUGAAUUGCCACUGGAUGUGAGGCAAAAAGCUGGACAAGGCUGCAAAGUCUCCUAGGAAAUGAAGUCAUUUGAAAUGGUCAGGACUGAAAUUCAUCUUCUGAGGGGAGUCAGGGCUUGUCCCUUGGGAAGCUGGAGUGAAAAGGCUAAACGACACCAUUUCUUUGGCUCUAUACUGACUCUGGUGGGAGCAUUGCUCAUAUUGUGCUGGAUUUAAUGAACAUCACGUCAUUAAACCCAAAAACCGUCCGGAGAAAGCGCUGCAAGCUACAAGUGGAAGUCCUAGAAACUCCAGGGAAGCCUGAGCCCACCUGGAGCCCUCCUAAGCCUGGUUUUACCAUAAAUGCAAGAUGAAAAGUGUCCCUCUAGUCACAAGUGGGACAUUUAGUGAAGGAAUGCCACAAAAUCAAGACUAUAAAUGAGACAAACUGCCCAAAUGCAAGCGCUCCUUGGCUUUGCAGGAUGAGAUCCAUAACCUGUCCUGAGGGAUUAAUAAUAAUCCAGGGUGCUGGCAGGCCAUCAAGGUUUUCCGUAGGAUUUGCACAAAACAGCCGAUGGAUGUGGCCAACAGGAGCCGUGAGGUUGAAAGAUGAAGCACUGAACUUAUGGACAGCCACCGGAAUCUGGCUCAGCUUCCACAUUUAUUUCCUGAAAUACCUGUCCCCAGUGUGUGCCCUACGCCGCUCUCAGAGGGAUGAGUUGGGAUUGGAUGUGGGGUGGCCUUUGAAAACAGAACUCUGUGUCAUGACUGUAAUGAAGAGUGCUGCUUCCUGAGGGAUGAUCCUAAUUGAUCGUAACUUCCUCCCACAGAAGUCUGUUGUGGUCCUGAGGAGUUCUCUGGAAAUCUUCUAGGAAAUGUGGAGCUCAAAUGGGGUUAUUAGGUGGUGGAAAGUGAUGGGGGCUUCGUGCUUCUCCCAAGGCAAGAAUUCUCCAGCCAUUCAAGUGAAACUCAGUACGGAAAAAUCUCUACAGGAUUUGUCUACAAAAAGCUGAGCAAUGAAUUAGUUCAGUCACAUCAUGGAAAAUAAGAAGUUAGAAGGUAGAAUGAGAACAUUUUGAUGAGCUGUACAAUCAGCACAGAAGAAAACUUCCCGUAAUAGUCACAAAAUCUAUUGAGGUUUAUUUUUGCUGUGAGCACUUCAAUUUUCUGUGAAAGCCACAAGCAAACAAGACUUUUGAACCACUUCAAUUUACUCUAAGUCAGAAAGCACAGUCUCUGUAGGCAUCUCUGUAUUUUAUUAUUGUGUCCAAAAUUAGGUGAGAAGGACAAAAUUAGGUGAGAAGGAGAAACCUGAAUUAA